rnacentral:rRNA from 1 species
CUAGCGAUAGGAUGCUAAUCUCAAAAAGCCGAUCGUAGUCCGGAUUGGAGUCUGCAACUCGACUCCAUGAAGUCGGAAUCGCUAGUAAUCGCGGAUCAGAAUGCCGCGGUGAAUACGUUCCCGGGCCUUGUACACACCGCCCGUCACACCAUGGGAGUUUGUUGCACCAGAAGUAGGUAGUCUAACCGCAAGGAGGACGCUUACCACGGUGUGGCCGAUGACUGGGGUGAAGUCGUAACAAGGUAGCCGUAGGGGAACCUGCGGCUGGAUCACCUCCUUAA